CAGAUGCUUGCAAAGGCACUAGCGCAUCACUUUGAGGCCAAACUAUUGUUGCUAGAUAUAACUGACUUCUCUCUCAAGAUGCAGAGCAAAUAUGGUCAUGGCAAUAAAGAUUCACUUCUCAAAAGAUCCAUAUCGGAGGGAGCAAUUAAGAGAAUGUCUUGUCUAUUUGAAUCAUUUUCCCUUCUUUCUCCAACGGAG